rnacentral:lncRNA from 1 species
AUGGCUCAGUUCGGCGAAAGACGAGCUGCGGGCCGCUCCAGAUCCACUGCUGCUUUAACCCAGAUGGCUGCUGGUCAGGAGGCUGGGAGACAGUGUGGAGACCACAUUCAGAAAGCACUGUCCACCCCGACCUGGCCGUGGAGUCCAGAGCUGCCUGGCUAUAUCUCUCCUCUGCCUUCUGAGUCGACUCAAAGGAAGAGGAAGAGGCGGAGCUCGGAGGAUGAAGAUCCCUGCACCUCAGACCGAGAGACCCGCCAAACGCUCUGCUGAAGAUGCGUAUAUAAAGGGCCCAAUGCUGGGUCAAGGUGGUAUUCGGCUCUGUGUUUGCUGGGACCCGUCAGCUCCUGAUGGACUUGCCUAGUAAGACAUUUUCUGUACCUCCUUAAUUCCAUUCAAACAGCCCUACAUUUAGGACAACUUUGUGGCAUAAACCGUAUUUCAUCUGUACAGAGCACGAGGUUAUUGUCUAUCAUUAAGCAGGUGUAAUGUACUGUAGGUUCAAUCUGGCUGCAGGUGGUCCAUCAAGUACGUGACUAAAGACGAGGGGCACGAGGACAUGG